AUUGAACGCUGGCGGCAUGCUUUACACAUGCAAGUCGAACGGCAGCGCGGGCUUCGGCCUGGCGGCGAGUGGCGAACGGGUGAGUAAUGCAUCGGAACGUGCCCAGUCGUGGGGGAUAGCCCGGCGAAAGCCGGCUUAAUACCGCAUACGACCUGAGGGUGAAAGCGGGGGACCGAAAGGCCUCGCGCUAUUGGAGCGGCCGAUGUCGGAUUAGCUAGUUGGUGGGGUAAAGGCUUACCAAGGCGACGAUCCGUAGCUGGUCUGAGAGGACGACCAGCCACACUGGGACUGAGACACGGCCCAGACUCCUACGGGAGGCAGCAGUGGGGAAUUUUGGACAAUGGGGGCAACCCUGAUCCAGCCAUGCCGCGUGCGGGAAGAAGGCCUUCGGGUUGUAAACCACUUUUGUUCGGGAAGAAAUACUCUGGGCUAAUACCCCGGGGGGAUGACGGUACCGGAAGAAUAAGCACCGGCUAACUACGUG
rnacentral:rRNA from 1 species